CAGUCGCCGCGGUAAAACGAAGGGUGCAAGCGUUACUCGGAAUUACUGGGCGUAAAGCGUGCGUAGGUGGUGGUUUAAGUCCGUUGUGAAAGCCCUGGGCUCAACCUGGGAAUUGCAGUGGAUACUGGGUCACUAGAGUGUGGUAGAGGAUAGUGGAAUUUCCGGUGUAGCAGUGAAAUGCGUAGAGAUCGGAAGGAACAUCUGGGGCGAAGGCGACUAUCUGGGCCAACACUGACACUGAGGCACGAAAGCGUGGGGAGCAAACAGGAUUAGAUACCCCAGUAGUCCCUGUCUCUUAUAC
rnacentral:rRNA from 1 species